GAGACAUAAGAGGCUCCGAUUCUGGGAUGGGAAGAUCCUCUGGAGGAGGGCAGAGCUACCCACUGCAGCAUUCUUGCUUGGAGAAUCCCAUGGAUAGAGGAGCCUGGCGGGCCACGGUCCACAGGGUUGCACAGAAUUAGACACGACUGAAGCGACUUAGCAGGCACGCAUGCAAGAGAUCCCGUCACCUACCAGAGUGGAUGUGAGCAGCAGCGAGGGUGAAUUUAUGUAGACUUCCCAAGGAGGUAGGACUUGAAGCCUCUCUUAAAGGAUGAGGAGAAUAAGGAAGAAAACCGUGCAGGCAGAUGAAUAGCGUGAGCAAACCCGGGAAAGCAAGGCAUGGUCUGUGAGUUCAGAAACCACCAGUGUCAUUUCAGUAUGAGAUACAGAAGCAGAUGCUGGAGGGAGCAUGGGGCCGGAUGCAGUGGGACACCUGUUCCACCUUAAGGAGUUCUGGAUUCACCUGCAGGUCCUGGGAACCCAGCAAAAGACUCCGAGGUGUGGAAUGACACAGUCGGCUUAAUAUUUUGGAUAGAUCACCCCACUGGCUUUGCAAAAGAUGAAUUUGCGAGGGAAGAAUGCCCAAGACUGGCAAAGUGAUCGUGGAGCUGGUACGAUAUUCCCUGCCAGAGUGUAUCUGUCCUAGGAUAGGGCUGGUCAGGUGACAAAAUGUGAUAGCAUGAGAAACAGUAAUAAAGUGAAAAACUGAUGGGGUUUAGAGAUUUCUUUUCUAUGGGAGACUUAGAGGAUGGAGCAGUUAAUGAGGCUCCCACGUUUUGUUGCCUAGGAGAUACUGUCAACCUAGGGAAAAUACAGGGUGCAAAGAAGAUGAUGUCAGUGUGGGACCAGCGGAGUUUAACUGUAAUGGAGCCAAUACCCGGGUGGAGCUCAGGUGCAUCGAGAGUUAAGUGCCUGAAGAUUCUGUGCUGGGCAGGUCUGGGUCCACCUAUAAUGCAGGGCAUGUGGGUUCGAUCCCUGAGUCAGGAAGAUGCCCUGGAGAAGGAAAUGGCAAUCCACUCCAGUGUUCUUGCCUGGAAAAUUCCACAGACAGAGGAAUCUGGCGGGCUACAGUCCAUGGGGUCACGAAAGAGUGAGUCAGACACGACUUAGAGACUGAACAACAAAACUAUACAGGACCCCCAGGUCCUAGUGGGUUAAGAAGGAGAAGAAAUAUCAACCCCUCUGGUUUUCUUUGCUGGUACAGCAAAGAGCAGCAUGGUGCCCAGUGGGAUCUCCUGGCACAAGAUCAAGCUGUGUAGAGACUCAGAGCAAUCCCACCACCAGUGAGGGUGUUCCAGGCAGCAAUUAAAUCAUGAUCAUUCCCCUCCGCCACACACACACCUCCCCAACUUCCACCCCAAUCCCUGCUGUCUUCUAACUGUGGGAAGCCCAGAUUGGAUGACUAAGUGCCAGGGAGGCCAUGCCAACCCACAGUUCCAGAAGUGACAGGACCUUGGCCCCCCAGUGUCCAGUCUAGGAAAGAGGGGGAGGUCUCUGCUCAAUGGUGAAUUCAGGCACUGCGUCCACAGGGUGGUUUAAAAGAGGCUGGAAACGCUGUGCAGAGGAAGGAUGAACAAGGCAAAUAGAGUAGAGUAUCAUCCUCCACCGAGGUUUAAGAGGUCUGUGAUUUCCCCUUCAACUGUAAAACGUGGAAGCGUAGCCCUGUCUUGAAGGCCUUCUUCCCUUCCUGGCACACAAAUGUAAGAGGGCGGCCAGAGUGCUGGAAG
ensembl:lncRNA